rnacentral:pre_miRNA from 1 species
UUUAUAUGACGCCGUUGACUUUUAGGUCCACGUUUGACCAUUCGUCUUAUUUAAAAAAUUAUAUAAUUAUUAAUUAUUUUGUUAUAAUAUGAUUUAUUAUUAUAGAAAAUUUAAUUACGCAUUAUAAUUUUGCAUAUUUGAAUAUAAAUUUUGAAUAAGACGAAUGGUCAAACGUGAUUCUAAAAGUCAACGGUG